GUGGAGUCCUUUACUAGGCGACGAGCCCUGGAACACAAGUUGGACAGUUUUUAAAGGUCCCUGCGCUCGCCAAGAGAAGGAAAUAGAUGCUCAGGAGUAAAAUACCGAGAGAAUCGGAUCUGGCGCCUCCUAACGCAGCUGGCAAGCAGGCGAAGGAUACCCUUCUCUCUCUCCCCAUGUGGCCUCAUGGUGUCCCCAAAGGCUGGUGUCAGGAAAAGAUCCGAUGGCAGGCACCUCGGUGCAAAAACAGUUGAUUGAGCAGCUCUGUGCUUCAAGACAGAGGGAAUAUAGAAGAACCAGCUCUGAUUGUACACCUACUCCAGGCUGCACACGGAGUGGACAGAUGACUCUAAAGGGAAUUAGGAAUCCCCAGAAUCUAGAAUCCCAAGACUUUCAAACUGUUAGAAACUGA